GUAAAUGAAGAAAAAUUUUUAAGUGACAAGUUAACAAGGUGUUUGUUUAAAAAAAAUUGAAAAAAAUUUAAAUGUCUGGCAGACCAAAGCGUCCUCUUGCCGCAUAUAUGUUGUGGCUCAACAAUGCACGCGAUCAUCCAGGCAUUAAAGUAACCGGAGUGGCCGAAAAGGUGGAGAGAAUUUGAGGCCCAUGGAGGCAGCUGGAUUGAAACCAUAUUCGCACAAAGUAUCAAGUCACUAACGUUAAAGGUUCCGUUGUUGGGCAAUCAACAUCAAAAGCGGCUGUGCGUUGUAAGCAGGAUUUGCCGAAGCGAUCAUCAACAUAUGUGCUGAAGCACAGAAAAGCUGAUGUGACUACGACCAUCCCAUGUUGAAGCUAUUAGGGAUAUAGCCAACUAGAAGGAUAUCUCUAAUCACCUCGUUGCCGCUGCUAAGAGAUGUUUGUAUCAUCCAAGCUUUAAUUGACCUAGAGAAGCCUGUUCGAAUUUGUGGGAUGAAUGUUGGGCAAAGCAAAGCUGAUGAGUGAUAUUUUUAAAUAAAUAAUUUAACUACAACACAUUCCGCGUUUCUGAUAAUCAACGAAAAGAUGCGAAAUUUGAGCAUUCAGUUACUAUUGAAGAAAUAUUAUAGAAAAUUAACCCAUGUUGGUUCUUGCUUACUUUGUGAUAUGUAAUGCACACGAUUCGUGAAUUCUUCGUACCACUAUUAUUAGAAUAAAAUUACUUUAAACGAAUUUGUAUUGUACGUAGUAAUUAGAGCUAACUUACGCGCUUUAUUGAAGAAUUAUAGAAAUUAUUCCAUGUGAGUUUUUGCUUACAAAGUAAGCAAGGGGAAGAAAGUUCUGUAUACUAAAACUGCAUCACUUAUGUGUUGAAGAUUUGUUAUUGUAAGUUAUGUCAUGUAUAUCGGCGUGGAUGAGUAGUGAAAAUGUAAAUUUUAUAAAUAAAAAUAUAUUAUUUGAAACUAAAGGAA